rnacentral:rRNA from 1 species
CAAUAGCGUAUAUUAAAGUUGUUGCAGUUAAAAAGCUCGUAGUUGGAUUUCUGGUGGGAGCGAUCGGUCUGGCGCUUAGCGCGAGUACUUGCAUCGUCUCCGGCCAUCCUUGGGGAGAGUCUGUCUGGCAUUAAGUUGUCGGGCAGAGGAUCCUCAUCGUUUACUGUGAAAGAAUUAGAGUGUUCAAAGCAGGCUUAUGCCGUUGAAUAUAUUAGCAUGGAAUAAUAAGAUAGGACUUUGGUACUAUUUUGUUGGUUUGCGCACCAAAGUAAUGAUUAAUAGGGACAGUUGGGGGUAUUCGUAUUCCGUUGUCAGAGGUGAAAUUCUUGGAUUUACGGAAGACGAACUACUGCGAAAGCAUUUACCAAGGAUGUUUUCAUUAA